rnacentral:lncRNA from 1 species
ACCCUAAAAACUUCAAAUCUUCGAUUCUUCUCGCACACACCGAAUCGAGCUACCAAAUUUUAGGGGAAUGUAGUACUAAUCAAACUCAACUUAUCCAUAUAUAGAACUCACCAAAUGGUGACCUGAGGAAGGAGAAAUUCGAUCGACACCGAAUCCGAACCGGCGGAGUUUUGGAGCUCGAUUUAUCCCUCACGGCGGCGCCACUCGAUGCACCACCUGUCCAGCAAUGAAGUAGAGACGACGGCGAAGCUUUUGGGACAAGUGUGGCGGUCUCCGGUGGCUUGACGGCGGAGCUAGGCCGAGAAGAAAAUCUGGCAGACGAAAUAGACUUCUUACCAUCCACCUUCGGUAAAACUCCUAUAUAAAGAACUUUAGCCGACGAAAUUCUUUAUUUUCGUCGGCUAAACUCUUUUGAAAAUUUUGAAAAUUUUGGUUGACCGCAAAAAAAUUUUGGUUGAAAAUUUUGAAAAUUUUUCGACUUUAGCCGACGACUUUUCAUAUAUUUUCGUCGGCUAAAGUCUUUUGAAAAUUUUCCUCCAAAUUUGGUUUACCGCCCAAAAAUUUUUGACCUUAGCCGACGACUUUUUUAAUAUCUCGUCGGCUAAAGUCUAUAAAUUCACGAAAAUGUUCAUAUCUCCCUCUAUAUUACGUAGUUUGGUCAAACCUUCCACACGAAAAACUUUCACGUAGAUGAGAUGCAACCGCCUAUGUAAAAAUUUUGAGACAUUUACCUUCCGACGAUAGGGCUCCCCAUAGGGAAUAAUAACGGUAAAUAGGGUUGAUCGCUACUAUCGGCACCGAGACUUUACCCGAUUUACGUGAUUUUUGAACCAUAGCUGUAUUUCACCAUUCUGAACACAUCUUAUUUCACGAGAUUUUUGAUAAUUUUGCUUCCUAUGUAGAGUUGGUUCACAAAGUUGUAUAACCUACUAAACAAGUUAUACAACAUUAGUAGACACGUUGUGAUUCCGAUGACUAAAAUUCACAAACCAAAAUUCGACCGUCAGAUAUGAUCAUUAUGAUGAAAGAUGUCUAUGGUAAAAAAUUCAACUGGAUCCGACAACGUUAAGGGCUCGAUCGAAACGGUCA